rnacentral:rRNA from 11 species
CCUGGCGGCACUAGCGCGGUGGUCCCACCUGACCCCAUGCCGAACUCAGAAGUGAAACGCCGUAGCGCCGAUGGUAGUGUGGGGUCUCCCCAUGCGAGAGUAGGGAACUGC